AAUCUACUAUGCGGGCAUUUUUGAAUCAACUUUGAAGCAUUCCUACAGCUCAUUGAAGCUUUCUCCUUCCACAUGUCUAAAGAUAGUAAUCUCUCUUCUUAAUU
rfam:Gossypium hirsutum cultivar TM-1 chromosome 2, whole genome shotgun sequence